GGAUGGACCCGCGUCUGAUUAGCUAGUUGGUAAGGUAACGGCUUACCAAGGCGACGAUCAGUAGCCGACCUGAGAGGGUGAUCGGCCACAUUGGAACUGAGACACGGUCCAAACUCCUACGGGAGGCAGCAGUGGGGAAUAUUGCACAAUGGGCGAAAGCCUGAUGCAGCAACGCCGCGUGAGCGAUGAAGGCCUUCGGGUCGUAAAGCUCUGUCCUCAAGGAAGAUAAUGACGGUACUUGAGGAGGAAGCCCCGGCUAACUACGCGCCAGCAGCCGCGGUAAUACGUAGGGGGCUAGCGUUAUCCGGAAUUACUGGGCGUAAAGGGUGCGUAGGUGGUUUCUUAAGUCAGAGGUGAAAGGCUACGGCUCAACCGUAGUAAGCCUUUGAAACUGGGAAACUUGAGUGCAGGAGAGGAGAGUGGAACUCCUAGUGUAGCGGUGAAAUGCGUAGAUAUUAGGAGGAACA
rnacentral:rRNA from 1 species